rnacentral:lncRNA from 1 species
CACGCUCAUAUUUCCACGGAGGUUUUUACGGAGACAAAGGUGGAGCAGGGCGCUGGUGUGAGGUGGCUGCGGUGUUUGAGGGUAACAUCAAGUCUUCAUCAAGAGCCAGACAUGCCUCAGGAUAACAGAGGCCACUGUUCCCAGGUCAGCGGGCAGGGAAGGACUUCAAGAGGAGAUGCUGGCUUCAGCACAGUUCCAUAGCCUGAGGUAUUUGAGAACCUCCUGUGGGCUUUCAAAAUGAAAAUGCACACAGACAGCAAACGCCAAUUAUUUCUGUACCAUCAGCUGAAAGUCUGGGAAAAGCUUCCCCUACCGACUGAGUCCUGGAGGAGCCGUCAGCAAGGGUGCAAACAGAUGAAGGGAAAGAGGGAUGUCCUAGUUUUAUUUCUAGAGAGAGCGGCACUUCACUAUUUAAGGAAUAGCUUUUUCC